rnacentral:rRNA from 1 species
AGUGAACGCUGGCGGUAUGCCUAACACAUGCAAGUCGAACGGCAGCACAGUAAGAGCUUGCUCUUACGGGUGGCGAGUGGCGGACGGGUGAGGCAUACAUCGGAAUCUACUUUUUCGUGGGGGAUAACGUAGGGAAACUUACGCUAAUACCGCAUACUACCUACGGGUGAAAGCAGGGGAUCUUCGGACCUUUCGCGUCUCAUAGAGCCGAUGUCGGAUUAGCUAGUUGGGGAGGUAAAGGCCCACCAAGGCGACGAUCCGUAGCUGGUCUGAGAGGAUGAUCAGCCACACUGGAACUGAGACACGGUCCAGACUCCUACGGGAGGCAGCAGUGGGGAAUAUUGGACAAUGGGCGAAAGCCUGACCCAGCCAUACCGCGUGGGUGAUGAAGGCCUUCGGGUUGUAAAGCCCUUUUGUUGGGAAAGAAAAGCAGCAGGUUAAUACCCCGCUGUUCUGACGGUACCCAAAGAAUAAGCACCGGCUAACUUCGUG